rnacentral:rRNA from 1 species
GACGAACUGUUCUAACGUUAUUCGGAAUCACUGGGCUUAAAGGGUGCGUAGGCUGUUUGUUAAGCGGGGUCUGAAAUCCCUCGGCUCAACCGAGGAACUGGGCUUCGAACUGGCAGACUAGAGUGAAGUAGGGGUAAGCGGAACUUGCGGUGGAGCGGUGAAAUGCUUUGAUAUCGCAAGGAACACCGGCGGCGAAGGCGGCUUACUGGGCUUCAACUGACGCUUAAGCGCGAAAGCUAGGGUAGCGAACGGGAUUAGAUACCCCGGUAGUCCCUGAGCGGGCUGGCAA